rnacentral:rRNA from 1 species
UACGUAGGGACCGAGCGUUGUCCGGAUUCAUUGGGCGUAAAGAGCUCGUAGGCGGCUGCUCAAGUCGAAUGUGAAACCUCGAGGCUUAACCUCGAGCCUGCAUUCGAUACUGGGCGGCUAGAGUCUGGUAGGGGGAUCUGGAAUUCCUGGUGUAGCGGUGAAAUGCGCAGAUAUCAGGAGGAACACCGGUGGCGAAGGCGGGUCUCUGGGCCGAUACUGACGCUGAGGAGCGAAAGCGUGGGGAGCGAACAGG